UGCUACGGCUGCUAAACAAAGGGUCGGCAGUUCGAAUCCGCCAGGCGCUCCUUGGAAACUCUAUGGGGCAGUUCUACUCUGUCCUGUAGGGUCGCUAUGAGUCGGAAUCGACUCGAUGGCACUGGGUUUGGAGCAUGUCUGGAGCCCUGGUGGUGCAGCGUUAAGAGCUCUGCUGCUAACCAAAAGGUCAACAAAAGGUCAGCAAUUCGAAUCCACCAACUGCUCCUUGGAAACCCUAUGAUGCAGUUCUGCUCUGUCCCAUACGGUCGCUAUGAGUUGAAAUUGACUUGACAGCAAUGGGUUUGGUUUUUUGGUUUGGAGCAUUGUCAUGGAUUGAAUUGUGUCCCCCCGCAAAAUAUGUGUCAAAUUGGUUAGGCCAUGAUUCCCAGUAUUGUGUGGUUGUCCUCCAUUUUGUGGUUGUAAUUUUAUGUUGAGAGGAUUAGGUUGGGAAUUUGACACCACCCCUUACUCAGGUCACCUCCCUGAUCCAAGGUAAACGGAGUUUCCCUGGGGUGUGGCCUAUGCCACCUUUUAUCUCUCAAGAGAUAAAAGGAAAGGGAAGCAAGCAGAGAGUUGGGUACCUCAUACCAUCAAGACAGCAGCACCAGGAGCAGAGCGCAUCCUUUGAACACGGGGUCCCUGCGCCUGAGAAGCUCCUCAACCAGGGGAAGAUUGAGGACAAGGACCUUCCUCCAGAGCCUACAGAGUGAGAAAGCCCUCCCCUGGAGCUGACACCCUGAAUUUGGACAUGUAACCUACUAGAAUGUGAGAAAAUAAAUUUCUCUUUGUUAAAGCCAUCAGCUUGUGGUAUUUUUGUUAUAGCAGCAGUAGAUGACUGACACAAGCAUGUCCUGAGGAGGGGCUAGACUAGUUAAUGAUUUGAAACCAUGUCAUAUGGAGACCAGCUGAAGGAAGAGAGGAUAUUUAUUCUCUGAAAGGCAAGAUCAUGGCCUUCUCAUUUCCAAAGGGCUAAGAUGGGGGAGGGGCCAGCUGUGAUCUGUGAAGCCCCAGGAAAAAACAAAGUGGUAGAACAACAGGGAAGCAGAUUUCAGCUCACCUAAGGGAGACUUUUAAACAUCAGGACUGUUUCAAGAUGUAACAGGAAAUGUCAGGAAGUGGCGAAGCCCUGGCAUGGAGAUGGGGUGCAGUGUUUACGCCGAGCCUGGGCAAUAGCUUCACGAUGACCAUUCAGAAGCAAUCCAGGCAUUGUGUGGGCAGCUGAACUGGUUGCCCUUCAUGGUUCCUCCAGCCCUCCAGGAAUGGGUUCUGUGCCCACAGACUGGACACUGGGGUGAAGAAGGAAGGGCUAAAAAAUAUCUCCUACACUGCUGGCCUGAGGCCCGAAAGACUGCUGUUGCUGCCCCCGGUACAAAUGGGUAACUUGGGAUGAAAAUGGAUUGUCGGGAGGGGCAAGAUAGUAUUUUUCUCAAGGGGCGGUGUAAAAAGCAAGGGCUUUGGGCCAGACCUGGAGUCCCUGUAUUGGUGCAAACGGUUAAUGUGCUCCGUUGCUAACAGAAAGGUUGGAGGUUUGAAUCUACCCAGAGGUACCUUGGAGGAAAGACUUAGCAAUCUACUGGGAGAAAAAAAAUCAGUCACUGAAAAGCCCUGUGGAGCAGUUUUCUGACACGCAUGGGGUUGCCAUGAGUCAGAAUCUAGUUGAGGGUAACUGGUUUUGGGUCAGACCAGUCAGGUCUUUUAGCCUUUUCAAGCCUCUGUGUCUUCCUCAGGAAAGGAUCUUUCCCACAGUGUUAUUAGGAGGAUUUAGAUGAACACACCUGAGAAACUCCCUGCCCACUGGUUGGUUGGUAGAAGAAGCUGGGCAAAGGUGAGAACCCCUGAGAGGUCUUACCACUCCAGAAGGCCUAGGUUCUGGUCCUGCCUGUGUGACCAGAAGUCCAACGUCCCCAUUUCCCAACAAUGAGAUGCAGAGGCCAUGCCAAACGAUCUCAAGGGGCUCUGAUGCCAUAUGGUGCCCUGGCAGGAGCCUGGCAUUUAGAGUGUGGGGUGGCACCAGGAAGCAGCUGACGGUGAGGUCUGGGCCGGGAGGAGGUCAGCACUGCCCUGAGGACUUGGGGACAGGGAGAAGUGAAAGAACAAGCCUGAGACUGACAGGGUGGAGGCCUGUGCAGUGGCUGUGGGAGGGCUCCUGAAGGCAGCUGCUGUUGUGUACUUUAGGAGAGGAAGCAGGGUGAGACUUUUGUCUCUUGAAUUGUGAAAAUGUUUUACAUUCAAGAAGUAAAGUUAAACCAAGUAAGAGCAAAAAGCACACUCAAAAUCAAAUACAAAUAGAACAAAAAUGAACCUAAUUAUAUUUUUUAUUAGUAACAUGCCCACACACUUAAGUGAUUUUGCAUCCAAGUACUCUGUCUUUACACCCUUAAUUUUCUAAGGAAAAAAAGAACUGUUCAGAAACCCUGACUUUUGCUUAGUAGGUUUGUUGUGAAAGUGGCUUUGGUGGUGUAUUUUUGAAACCAGUAUGUGUUUAUAUUGUAGGUCGAGACCUGUGCUUUCUUGUAAUUUUAAAGAAGGCUUUUAUUUGCACAAACUCUCUGGGACGGCUUACAGCAAGCAAACGUUUUAAUAAGUAUGUUGUUACUGUUAGUUAAGAAGCUCUGAUGUUGCAACGGUUGAAGAGCUUGGCUGUUAACUGAAAGGUCACCGGUUUGAACCCACCAGCCCUUCCGAGGAGGAGAGAUGUGGUGGCAUGCUUCUGUAAAGAAUACAGCCUUGGAAACCCUGUGGGGCAGUUCUGCUCUGUCCUUAGGGUCAGAAACAACUUGGAAUCAACUUGAUAGCAGUGGGUUUGGUUUGUUUUUUUUUGUUGUUAUUGUUAGUUGUCAAGUCAGUUCUGGUGUGAUCUUAACGGAAGCAGAUCACCAGGUCUUUCUUCAGCGGUACUGCUCAGUGGGUUGGAACUGCUAACCUUUAGAUUAGCAGUCGAGCACAAACCAUUUGUGCCACCCAUUGUUGCCGGGUGCUGUGGAGUCGAUUCCAAUGGAUAGCAGCCCUAUUGGACGUAGUAGAAUUGCCCCAUAGGGUUUCCUAGGUUAUAAUCUUUUUGGGAGCAGAUCUCCAGGUCUUUUUUUAUCCACAAAGUGCCUGGUUUAUCUGGAAGAUAUACCUGCAUUUAUGGAGUCUGUGUCUUUCCCAUGAUUCAGAGUUAUGGGGCCGUGGAAAUGGCAGAGUUUGCAUAAUCAAGACGGAUGAAGUUCGAGUCCUGGUGGUUGCCCCUAAAUAUUGCACAGAUGUCUUAACUGGGGACAGUCGUGACUGGAUCACGUGGAGACAAUCAAAAGGUAGCUCUUCAGAUGGAGGUGAGGAUGGAAUCAGAUGUUACCUCCUACCAAAGGCUUGCUUUGCCCUGGUGUUACUGCUAGAAUGCAAAGCGUUUACUCCAGACAAGAACUGAGCGCCAACUGUGUUGAAAGAGAGGAGGAUUUUGAAAAUCUCUUUAGUUCUUUAUUACUUUGUUUUACUACUUUAUCUACUACUGCAUGGAAUCUGAAAACAAUCUUGUAAAAAACUGAGCCAUGAGUGCCAGAAAAUAUUCGAAUUAUAUUGGAUAUUGUAUAACUGGGAUUACAUUCCAGUCACAUGGAUAGUUUUAAGGGGAUCAGUUUCCAGAACCUCAGUUUCCAGAAUCUCAACUUCCAUGUGUUUUUCCUAAGUUAGUCAGCCUCUGAGGUGACAGUUUCUCGUCUCCCACAUGAAGCCCACCCCUGAUCUCUCUAUGGAGUUGCUCCAGGUGUGGAGGGGGAACCGGCUGUAAUGAUUACUCAGCGGCUUCACGGCGCUUCCUCACUUUUGCUGUCUUGCACACACUUCUUUUAAGGGGAAAGUGUGGAACUUCAGCCUGUGGGGAAGUUCUGAAGGCAGAUACGUGGGAGGUGGAGUAUAGUUGACUGCUUUACCUUUCUUCCUCCCCUUUUGUCUAAGAACAUAUCAUUCACACGGGAGCUCCCCCAGGAGCAGAGCUGAGAGCACAGGUGGGUGCAUCCUCGGCUCAGAGGACAAGCCCUCAAACAGCCAAAGUAGUAGAGGUUGGCGAUGGAGCUGGCACGUUUGCUGGGAUUACCAGCAUGUUCAAGACACAUUGGCUGAAACUUUCUCUGUCUCUAUAUCUCCAGUCCAGACCAGUUGCCAUCAAGUCAGUUCUGACUCAUGGCGACCCCAUGUGUGUCGGAGUAGAACUGUGUUCUGUACAGUUUUCAGUGGCUGACUUUUCAGACGUAGAUUGCCAGGCCUUUCUUCUGAGUGCCUCUGGGUGGACUCAAAUCUCCAAUCAUUCAGUUAGCAGCCAAGCAUGUUAACUGUUUGUACCAUCCAGGGACAUCAUAUAAAUAUAUAUAAUUAAAUAUUAAAAUUGAUAAUUAAGUUAAAUGUUAUAUAUAUAUUUAAAUUUUAUUGUGGUAGAAUAUAUAUAAAAAAACAUUCGCCAUUUUAACCAUUUUUGUGUGUACAAUUCAUUGACACUAAUUAUGCUCACCAUCUUGUGCAAACAUUACCACUAUGUUUCCAAUUUUUUUCAUUACCCUUAAUAGAAAGUGGUAAUAUUUUUAUGAGAUUUCUUUCAGAUUCUGCAUGUUAUUCAAGAAAGAAGUCAGACCCGUUUUAUUAAAUCAUACCAUGGAGCGUUUAUUCUGAUUACAAUCUUCACCUUAUUUCAUCUUAUGAAAUGAUUAAUAUUUUCUAUCUUAUACUAUGAAAAAUAAUGUGCUAGCCCCAAGCCCCAGAUAAAUUAGCAGGACGAGUUUUAGCAGGCUGCAUUUCCAAUAAAAAUUUGCUUUCUGUUUAAGAAUUAUUUGUCACAAUUUAUAAUAUAUUUAUGUUGUUUAGAUCAAUUGUAUAAUAUUUAUAUUAGCUCAAUCCAGAAGAAAUGCUUAACACUUAAGAACUUUAUGGUCCUGAGGAAAAAAAAUAAAUUUUAAAAUUUCAAUUUACUUACCUUUUUUUGGUUGUGGCUAACUGUGGUACCAUAGUCAAUAAAAGACUUUAAAGCAUAAGAAAUGUUACCUUUGGCAAAGAUACGCGGAGGAAGUAGGAUGGACACGUGAGUUUAAGGAGAAAAGGAUAAAAUGUAAAAUUUCCUAAUGUUGAAGAAGAGGUUGUUCAUGGAUUUAAAAAAAAUUGAUGAUAGUGGAUAAAAAAUUGUUUCAACAUUUAGUUUUCAUUGGAUACAUCUAAGAGACUGAUGUAAAAAUUUUUUUCAUUUUAAACAUCAUUAUUUACAAUACCUGGGCAAGCACAUCCCCUGCAACAAUUUAAAAAUACAGUAAAAAUUAAAAGCCUGCAAGAGGGCUCACGUAGUUUUUUAAAACUUUGUUUAGCAGCUACAAAGGUGUAUCAGUCAGAAUCAUCUAGGCUAUUCUGCAAUAACAAACAAUCCAAAGUUUAAGUGCCUUAUAACAGCAAAGGUUCCUUUUUCACUCACACUUCUCAUCUGUUGUGGAUCGAGGUGGCACUCUCAGUUGACAAGGGAAGUGACACAUAUUUUGCUCAUGCUCCUGCCAGAGCAAAACACGCACGAUUUCCCUUUACAACUCAUUGGCCAGAAAGGAUCACAUGGCCCACCCCACCACAAGGGGGCAGGAAGUGUACUUCCCACUGUGUGUCUGGGUGUGGUGCAAUGAAUUACUUAAUGUGGUCCUUCUAGCUAUGGUCUUUGUGACUCACACACGAUGAUUGAGUGUGACUAUGCAGAUAAGGUAUGUGGAACCUGUGAGGUUGGGACUAUGUGUCAACUUGGCUAGGCCAUGAUUCCCAGUAUUGUAUGGUUGUCCUCCAUUUUGUGAUCUGAUGUAUUAUCUUAAUCAUCCUCCAUUUUUUUUUAUUUUAUGUGUGGUAAAUCCAAAUCCCUAUAUGUUAAUGAGGCAAGAUUAGUGUGGGGUAUAUCUCAAGUCACAGCCUUGCAGGAGGGCGUGACUCAAGUCCCACCCUUACUCAGGUUAUGCCCUUCCCUGGGGUGUGACCUGCAUCCAAGGUAUAUAUGUGGUUGCCCUGGUGGGGCUGUCUCUCUCUCUCUCUGCACCUGGAUGCUGCCUGGUUCUUGGGACUUGAGCCAGCGGCCUGCCAUCAGAUCUGCCGAUUCUGGGAUUCACCAGCUUCCACAGCCCCAUGGGCUAGCAGCCUAUCAUCUAACCUGAUUCACCAGCUUCUGCAGCCAGCAGCUUGUGGUCUGACCUGUCGAUUUGGGUUCAUCAGCCUGGUGCCCACAUGAGUCAGGAGAAGCCUGUGCCUGACCCGCUGAUUUGGGACUUGCCAGCCUUCACAACCGUGUAAGCUAUUCCCUUGGUACAGUUUGUGAGUUCUGUGAGACUUUGCAGUGAAUUACAGAACCCAAAGAUGAGAGGGUGAGUACAGAGGCGAGAGGGGAAUAGUUGAUGUUAGAGACGAUGGAGUGGUACAGUAUUUCGGAGAAGUUGAAACACUUCCUCCUCAUAGGAAUAGCUUUGUGCUGAUCCUCAUAAAAGAAAUCAUCCAUUUACUGGGGCAGAGGGCUGGAGAUCCUUGGUGAGCACCCCAGUGACUACCACAGUGAGCGCCUUGUUGGAAGACCAAUGGGCCAGGACUUAAAAGUUUCUUCUGUGGUAUAGAGAGAUCCCUGAAAGGCUCCCCAUGUGGGACAAUGAAAUCAAUUUGGCCUUUUGUCUCUGGCUCCUAAAAAUAACCCUUGGAAUUUGCCAGCAACCAAAGUGUCUUUGUUUUUCUAAAACAGCUGGGUAGCAUUUAAAUGUGUGCAAAUGAAUUGGGAGUCCCUAGCACUUGGCAAAAGGCAUCAGGAAGGGAGGGAGGCAUGAUGCAGUGAGGCACUGUUAUGGGUUGUAUUGUGUCCCCCAAAAUGUGUUGUAAAUCCUAACCAUUUGGGAAUGGGUUUUCUUUGUUAUGUUAAUAAGACAGGCUUAGUGUAGGGUAUGUCUUAAAUCAAUCUCUUUUAAUAUAGAACAGAUUAAACAAGCAAUUGAGAGAGCAGAGAUGGGGAAAGAAAGAUACCAGGCCACAGGAAGAUUGCCCAGGAGCAGAAGCUCAGAAGAGACAAGGACCUUUCCCCAGAGCCGACAGAGUAAGCCUACUACCCCUGGAGCUGGUGCUGAAUUUGAACUUUUAGCCUCCUAAACUGUGAGAGAAUAAACUUCUGUUUGUUAAAGCCACCCACUUGUGGUAUUUCUGUUAUAGCAGUACUAGAUAACCCAGGCAGGCACCAAUUAUGACUAUGCAUUGUUGUAAGAGACCUUGAAUACGGAAGCAGUGCGGCUUCCUGGAUUGGCAAGACCAUCCAUGCAGGGGAGAGAGUGGCACGUCCCUGGGGAUAGCGGAAGCCUCAUGCUGGGACCUCUCCCAGACCUUGCAUGAUGCAUCUCUUUGCUUGUAUAAGGGGAAGGGGGAGAGCUUGCACUCGGGAAGAGGAAGAGGCAGGGGGUGAUGACAUUCCUCAAUAAGACAAUCCCUACAAAGGAAGAGACGGGGGCAGUGACACUCCUCAAUAAGAUGGUACCUACAUAGUUAAACUUUAAGCCAAGGAAAUGAUCUUUACAGGGGUCUUUGAUUUGAUAAAGUCCUUAACUUGAUAAAGUCCCUAACUUGAUAAGAUCUCUAACUUGGUAAUUAAACCGUAAGCCAAGGAAAUAGCAUUCAUAGGGGGGUCUUGUCCUGGCUUUUAAAUGUUAAUAGAGACAGAUAGAGAAACAAAAAGGGUAUAAAACCCUAAUAAAACUACUAUGGAGCACUCAGAUUCUUUCCCUACCUGAGUAGCCUGCUUGAAGCUUCCUAGUCAAGUGUACUUUCACUACUAACCCUCUGCUAAUAAACCUCUGCUCACUUGGCACUGUUUGUCUCAGUGUUUGAAUUCUUUCCCACACCGAAGACAAGAACCAAGGCCAGUCUCUGGUAACACUUGUAUCAUCUCUGGUUAUAAUUAGUGGGUAAUACACGGUUGCCGUUGAGUUGAUUCUGACUCACAGCGACCCUAUAGGACAGAAUGAAACUGUCCUCUAGGGUUUGCAAGAAGUGGCAGGUGGAUUCGAACUGCCAACUUUUUGGUUAGCAGCCAAGCUCUUAACCACUGUGCCAACACAGCUCCAAGUAUAGGUAAUAGUUUCUGUGAAUUUUGUGAUCUCGUCUAGAGAGUUAAUGAACUCACAAGGGGCAGUGAGACUCUGACCUGGCUCGGGUGGCUAAUUCAGAGGAAGGGUGCACAGGCAGACGAUUUGUGAAGACUCAGCUCUGGGUGCCAAAGAAAAGCUGCACGGGCAGUCGAUGAAGAAGGACAGUCCUUCUAGUUUGUGACCUAGCCCCAGGUGGCUAGAGAGAGGGGCUGGUCUGCAGUACAGGAAGUCGUGCAGACUCCUGAGCCUCCGGCUGGUACCCAGUGACCUGGCCCUAGAUGGUUGGGGAUGAAGUCUGGCCUAACUCUUAGUGAUUAGGGUCAGAGAAGAAGUGCCACACGAAGAGGCUGGUGCUGAAGGCCAUGGAGAUGUGGGAAGGUGAAGCCUGGAUCAAUUUCCAGGUGGGAAUUGGAUUCAUGCUGAUUCUUGCCAUGCAAUUAGCAAUAAAGGUGGGGUUUGCCCACCUUGCCCCUUGCUUGGUGCAGGUGGCACACCCAGGCAAGAAGAAGGGAAUUUGGGGGAGUCCAGGAUGUCCCCUCCUGUGCUGCACUUACCUGCCCCCCACCCCCACCACAAGGAGGAGGAAAAGAGAGGCAGAGAGAUAGCAGGUAGGGCAGAGGCAAGUGUCCUGUUUGCUUCAUUUUCAGCAUGAAACCACGAUGGGGGGAGUCCUAAGAACCUCGGGCCUCUACUGGUGUGUCUCCCUGAGUAUGUGUGCCCAAGCCUUCCACGGCACGGUGCAAGAGCAACAGGCAGUAAGGACAGAGGGAAGGCAGGGCUCCUGGCUUCCCAGGACCCGGGCAAGAGGCAUGCAGGGACACAGAAGUUCCCUCAUGUCCCAGAGGAGAACAUGGA